UCUCUCGUAGCUUAGUGGUCAAAAGCAUUGGCGCGUAAAGCCAAAGAGCCCGGGUUCGAUUCCCGGCGGGGGUG
rnacentral:tRNA from 1 species